AUAUGUGUGGAUGGAGUUAAACACCACAAAGGAUGGGUGUGAUUGCCCAUGUGUGGGUGGUGUUCAGCACCAGGGACAGAUGUGUUUACCG
rnacentral:pre_miRNA from 1 species